AGGGUUCAUUUUGAAUGCGCGUGCACGAGCCAGAGAUCCAGCGGAGUCCUGACUCCGGACACUUUCUCCAGAAUCCGCGGCGCUUUGCCACUCCCGCCCAUGAGCCGUGUGCACAUGUACGGUGUGGGCUUCAUGUUGGCAGAUGGGGAGUCUGCAGAGUCGUAAAUCAGCUAGCUUCUGGACUUCGUAUCAAAUAGGAGGAGAUUCCAGAGAAGAAGGCCCAAAGACAAAGAAUUCUAACAACACACAAGUUAGCAGAGUGUUGCUGCUUCUGCUGGGAAGAUUCUGAGGGAUAGGAUUUACACUCGUCUGGAAAAAACAAGACUUAUUAGGCUAAACUGGGAAUUCCAUUCACAAAACUUCACCACAAAGUAUAACUUGGAUUAGACUGAGACAGGGUGGAGUCUUUUGCCUGCACUAUAAACAAUGAGAGUACAAUAAUGAUGAAACUUGACAAAGGGUCCAAAUGCCAGGAAACUAUACUGGCUUUGGCCUGCUUUAUCAAGUGCCUCCACAUAUCCCGAAACCAGGAGAGAGGAACAAGCUGAUGCUGACUGAUUUAAGUGCCGGGCUAGAUUGAAAAGUUCAACGUAUUGGAACUAGAGGCGAG